AAUGCCUCAGCUUGCUCCUCUGUAGCAUUACAUGUCUUGUGAGCAAGCACUUGGGGACAUUUUUAACAUCCACUGGCACCUGGUAUUUGCCAAGCUUUUUACAUCCACCAACUAUAAUCCUUGAAACAGGCUGUCAAGGAGUUUAACUGUGUACACACCUGACACCUGGAACUGAUGUCCUGGACCAUAGAGUAUGCUGAGAUUAUAGGUGUGUGCCACCACCCACAGCCACUAUCAUGGAUGCUUUAUAUUUACCCUUGUAAGAGAUUCCAGGAGUUUGCAAAUUCUGACAAGGUAUGAUGAAGGCUUCCUGGGUGGUGUCCUACAAAUGGUAGUGAAUACAAUUCUGCUAGCAGUUGUCCUGACUUCCACUUCACAUGGUAUUUAGUAGUGUUUCUCCAGAGUUCUCUAGUUUCUGAAUGUUGCUUGCUACUCCUCCUAUGUUCUCUCUCACAUAGAAUCAUUUUUCAAGCUUUUUGACUACCUUGCAGUCCCCUGCUCUGGUUACAGGAUCAUGCCUCAACUGGAUAUGGUUACACAUCCAUGUCUCUGGUCACUGGCUGCUGGUAAGGAAUGCUCCUCAGGACACUACCAGCUUUCCUGUUCUUCCAGGCUAACAUUUCCUGCUUGCUGGCCCACCUUGCUUGGGUUGGGUACAGAAAUCUCUAGUGGUUUCUGUUGUUACCACUUUGUCCUUCUCUGCUGAGACCUGUUGCCUUUCCUGCUCAUCUGUGCAUUUUAAGAUACAGGGACCAGCAGCCUUUUCCAGCAAUGGUGGCACCAGCGUGCCUCUCCAGGUGCAGAGAUUCGCACUCUGUCCUAUGCUCAGCCCACAUGACUGUUAGUGAAGAAAGCAGAGGAACUGGUAUCAGGGUUGAGAAACUGACUCUCCUACCUCCUUUUUUUUUUUGGUACCGGGAAUCAAACUCGAGACCUUGCACUUGUGAGGCAGGCAGCGAAACCACUGAGCUAAAUCCCUGGCCCCCUACCUUCUUUUUUGCUUUUUAUUAGAAGUGUCCAUAAAGUGCUAUUUAUUAUCUAAUGGAGCUUUAUGAAACUCAGUGAAUUAGACCUUUUCUUUCUAAGUUAAUGUACAAUUUUUGCCUUUACUCUAUUGGGAAGAAAAAAAAUCUAAUAAUAGUGGAGAAAGAGCAGAUAGCUGAUGAAGAAAACUCUUAAGAGACAGGAUGGUUAAGGUCCAGAAAAGGUUAAUUUUGAACAAAAGGGAUCUUUCUGAAUGUCAUCUUUCUGAAAGGAGAUUUCCAUUUCAGUUAGGCACAUGAGCGAGAG
rnacentral:lncRNA from 1 species